CCGGCGACCGGCGCACGGGUGAGUAACGCGUAUGCAACCUGCCCGUUUCAGCGGGAUAACCCGGAGAAAUCCGGCCUAAUACCGCAUGUGGCCGAGGGGAGGCAUCUUCUUUCGGCCAAAGGAGGCACUCCGGAGACGGAUGGGCAUGCGUGACAUUAGCUGUUGGCGGGGUAACGGCCCACCAAGGCGACGAUGUCUAGGGGUUCUGAGAGGAAGGUCCCCCACACUGGUACUGAGACACGGACCAGACUCCUACGGAAGGCAGCAG
rnacentral:rRNA from 1 species